rnacentral:rRNA from 1 species
AGUGAACGCUGGCGGUAGGCCUAACACAUGCAAGUCGAACGGCAGCACAGUAAGAGCUUGCACUUACGGGUGGCGAGUGGCGGACGGGUGAGGAAUACAUCGGAAUCUACUUUUUCGUGGGGGAUAACGUAGGGAAACUUACGCUAAUACCGCAUACGACCUACGGGUGAAAGCAGGGGAUCUUCGGACCUUGCGCGAUUGAAUGAGCCGAUGUCGGAUUAGCUAGUUGGCGGGGUAAAGGCCCACCAAGGCGACGAUCCGUAGCUGGUCUGAGAGGAUGAUCAGCCACACUGGAACUGAGACACGGUCCAGACUCCUACGGGAGGCAGCAGUGGGGAAUAUUGGACAAUGGGCGCAAGCCUGAUCCAGCCAUACCGCGUGGGUGAAGAAGGCCUUCGGGUUGUAAAGCCCUUUUGUUGGGAAAGAAAAGCAGCAGGUUAAUACCCCGCUGUUCUGACGGUACCCAAAGAAUAAGCACCGGCUAACUUCGUA